UUAAGUGAAUAAGGGCGCACGGUGGAUGCCUUGGCACUAGGAGCCGAUGAAGGACGGGACUAACACCGAUAUGCUUUGGGGAGCUGUAAGUAAGCUAUGAUCCAGAGAUUUCCGAAUGGGGGAACCCAAUAUCUUUUAUAGGAUAUUACUUUUCAGUGAAUACAUAGCUGAUUAGAGGUAGACGCAGAGAACUGAAACAUCUUAGUACCUGCAGGAAGAGAAAGAAAAUUCGAUUCCCUGAGUAGCGGCGAGCGAAACGGGAAGAGCCCAAACCAACAAGCUUGCUUGUUGGGGUUGUAGGACUCCAAUAUGGUAGUCUGUUAGUAUAGUUGAAGGAUUUGGAAAAUUCCGCUAAAGAGGGUGAAAGCCCCGUAGACGAAAUGCUGACAACACCUAGGAGGAUCCUGAGUACGGCGGAACACGAGAAAUUCCGUCGGAAUCCGCGGGGACCAUCCCGCAAGGCUAAAUACUCCCUAGUGACCGAUAGUGAACCAGUACCGUGAGGGAAAGGUGAAAAGCACCCCGGAAGGGGAGUGAAAUAGAUCCUGAAACCGUGUGCUUACAACAAGUCAAAGCUCGUUAAUGAGUGAUGGCGUGCCUUUUGUAGAAUGAACCGGCGAGUUACGAUUGCAUGCGAGGUUAAGUCGAAGAGACGGAGCCGCAGCGAAAGCGAGUCUGAAUAGGGCGAAUGAGUAUGUAGUCGUAGACCCGAAACCAUGUGAUCUACCCAUGUCCAGGUUGAAGGUGCGGUAAAACGCACUGGAGGACCGAACCCACGUACGUUGAAAAGUGCGGGGAUGAGGUGUGGGUAGCGGAGAAAUUCCAAACGAACUUGGAGAUAGCUGGUUCUCUCCGAAAUAGCUUUAGGGCUAGCCUCGGAAUUGAGAAUGAUGGAGGUAGAGCACUGUUUGGACUAGGGGCCCAUCUCGGGUUACCGAAUUCAGAUAAACUCCGAAUGCCAUUCAUUUAUAUCCGGGAGUCAGACUGCGAGUGAUAAGAUCCGUAGUCGAAAGGGAAACAGCCCAGACCACCAGCUAAGGUCCCAAAAUAUAUGUUAAGUGGAAAAGGAUGUGGGGUUGCACAGACAACUAGGAUGUUGGCUUAGAAGCAGCCACCAUUUAAAGAGUGCGUAAUAGCUCACUAGUCGAGUGACCCUGCGCCGAAAAUGUACCGGGGCUAAACAUAUUACCGAAGCUGUGGACUACACCAUUAGGUGUAGUGGUAGGAGAGCGUUCUAAGGGCGUUGAAGGUCGAUCGUGAGGACGGCUGGAGCGCUUAGAAGUGAGAAUGCCGGUAUGAGUAGCGAAAGACAGGUGAGAAUCCUGUCCACCGUAUGACUAAGGUUUCCUGGGGAAGGCUCGUCCGCCCAGGGUUAGUCGGGACCUAAGCCGAGGCCGAUAGGCGUAGGCGAUGGACAACAGGUUGAUAUUCCUGUACCAGUUGUUUUUGUUUGAGCAAUGGAGGGACGCAGUAGGCUAAGGAAUGCAUGCGAUUGGAAGUGCAUGUCCAAGCAAUGAGUCUUGAGUAGAGUUAAAUGCUUUACUCUUUAAGGACAAGUUGUGACGGGGAGCGAAAUAAUAGUAGCGAAGUUCCUGAUGUCACACUGCCAAGAAAAGCUUCUAGUGAGAAAACAACUGCCCGUACCGUAAACCGACACAGGUAGUCGAGGAGAGUAUCCUAAGGUGAGCGAGCGAACUCUCGUUAAGGAACUCGGCAAAAUGACCCCGUAACUUCGGGAGAAGGGGUGCUGACGUCGGUCAGCCGCAGUGAAUAGGCCCAAGCGACUGUUUAUCAAAAACACAGGUCUCUGCAAAAUCGUAAGAUGAAGUAUAGGGGCUGACGCCUGCCCGGUGCUGGAAGGUUAAGAGGAUGGGUUAGCUUCGGCGAAGCUCAGAAUUGAAGCCCCAGUAAACGGCGGCCGUAACUAUAACGGUCCUAAGGUAGCGAAAUUCCUUGUCGGGUAAGUUCCGACCCGCACGAAAGGCGUAACGAUUUGGGCACUGUCUCAACGAGAGACUCGGUGAAAUUUUAGUACCUGUGAAGAUGCAGGUUACCCGCGACAGGACGGAAAGACCCCAUGGAGCUUUACUGUAGUUUGAUAUUGAGUGUUUGUACCACAUGUACAGGAUAGGUAGGAGCCGAUGAGACCGGAACGCUAGUUUCGGAGGAGGCG
rnacentral:rRNA from 1 species